CUUGGAUGGAAGAAUGGAGGAAGAAACAAAGGGAAUGAGUAUAGAUGUAAUCCAGUCUGCUGAGUAAGAAAUCUUCUGAAACAUGUCAAAGACCUGAUGCAUGGCCUCUACAGUAGUGCUUGGCCACACCCAGUUACCAGUGACCUAUUCUUCCACAUCCCAGGGAAAGGAGAGAGCAGAACCACUCCUCCUUAAAUCCAUAGUCAUUGACAUUAGUGUCAUGAAAAGCCAGAAAACUCAGGAGGUUGAUGUGUUGAGGGCCGUCUGGAAAGUCCUAAAAUAUGCCCCUGACCACUGUGGUGGAGGAUGCAAAGUAUGUACAGUGAGGGGAAAAAAGUAUUUGAUCCCCUGCUGAUUUUGUACGUUUGCCCACUA